CAAUAGCGUAUAUUAACGUUGUUGCAGUUAAACAGCUCGUAGUUGGAUUUCUGGAGGGAGCGUCGGCCCGUAUUUACGAGUGCGUGACGUCUCUGUCCAUCCUUGCGGGAAGGCACGGCAUUGAUUUGUUGUGUCGGAUCGCAUCAUUUACUGUGAAAAAAUUAGAGUGUUCAAAGCAGGCUUUCGCUUGAAUACAUUAGCAUGGAAUAAUAAGAUAGGACUUUGGUGCUAUUUUGUUGGUUGAGCCUAAAGUAAUGAUUAAUAGGGAUAGUUGGGGGCACCUGUAUUGCGUUGUCAGAGGUGAAAUUCUUGGAUUUACGCAAGACAAACAGCUGCGAAAGCGUCUGCCAAGGAUGUUUUCAUUAA
rnacentral:rRNA from 1 species